rnacentral:rRNA from 1 species
UACGUAGGGUGCAAGCGUUAAUCGGAAUUACUGGGCGUAAAGCGUGCGCAGGCGGUUAUGUAAGACAGAUGUGAAAUGCCCGGGCUUAACCUGGGAACUGCAUUUGUGACUGCAUGGCUAGAGUGUGUCAGAGGGGGGUAGAAUUCCACGUGUAGCAGUGAAAUGCGUAGAGAUGUGGAGGAAUACCGAUGGCGAAGGCAGCCCCCUGGGAUAACACUGACGCUCAUGCACGAAAGCGUGGGGGAGCAAACAGG